UUUCUCGGUUCAACAAACUUCGAGUUGUGGUGGCCGAUGACGGUUCCGAAGCCCCGGAAAGGCCUGUUAACGGGGCGCACCCGACCCUCCAGGCCGACGAUGAUUCCUUACUGGACCAAGACUUACCUUUGACCAACAGUCAGCUGAGUUUGAAGGUGGACUCCUGUGACAACUGCAGCAAACAGAGAGAGAUACUGAAGCAGAGAAAGGUGAAAACCAGGUUGACCAUUGCUGCCGUUCUUUACUUGCUUUUCAUGAUUGGAGAACUUGUAGGUGGAUAUAUUGCAAAUAGCCUAGCAAUCAUGACAGAUGCACUUCAUAUGUUAACUGACCUAAGCGCCAUCAUACUCACCCUGCUUGCUUUGUGGCUAUCAUCAAAAUCACCAACCAAAAGAUUCACCUUUGGAUUUCAUCGCUUAGGCUGGAAUACAAUGACACCAUCAUAGCUCACUGCACCCUCGAACUCCUGAGUUCCGGAAAUCUUACCCUCACAGCCUCCAGAGUAGCUAGGACUGCAUGCACAUACCACCAUACCCAGCUAAUUUUUUAAUUUUUUGUACAGACAUGGUCUUGCUUUGUUGCCCAGGCUGGUCCUGAACUCCUAGCUUCAAGCUAUCCUUCCAUCUCAGUCUCCCAAAGUGAUGAGAUUACAACCAUAAGCCACUGCACCAGGCCUGAUGAAUGGAACCUUUUAAAGUCACUAAUAGUCCAGGCACUGUGGCUCAUACCUCUAAUCCCAGCACUUUGGGAGGCCAAGACAGGAGGAUCACUUGAGCCCAGGAGUUGGAGACCAGCCUGGGCAACAUAGGGAGAUCCCGUCUCUAUAAAAAGAAAAAUUAGCAGAUGUGGUGGCACACGCCUGUGGUCCCAGCUACUUGGGAGGCUAAGAUAGGAAGAUUGCUUGGGUCCAGGAGGUUGAGGCUGCAGUGAGCCAUGUUUGGGCCGCUGCACUCUAGCCUGGGUGACAGAGCAAGACCCAGGCUGGGCAUGGUGGCUCACGCCUGUAAUCCCAGCACUUUGGGAGGCCAAGGCGAGCAGAGCACCUGAGGUGGGAGUUCGAGACCAGCCUGACCAACAUGGAGAAACCCCAUCUCAACUAAAAAUACAUGUGGCACAUGCUUGUAAUCCCAGCUACUCAGGAGGCUGAGGCAGAAAAAUCGCUUGAACCCGGGAGGUGGAGGUUGCGGUGAGCUGAGAUCGUGCCAUCGCACUCCAGCCUGGGCAACAAGAGCGAGACUCCGUCUCAAAAAAAAAAAAAAAAAGUAAAAAGUCACUAAUAUAUAAUAUAUAAUGAACAAUUGUUUUUACAAUG
rnacentral:sRNA from 1 species